rnacentral:rRNA from 1 species
UACGAAGGGGCGAGCGUUGUUCGGAAUCACUGGGCGUAAAGGGCGCGUAGGCGGCCCUCUUAGUCGCGUGUGAAAGCCCCGGGCUUAACCUGGGAAUUGCAUUGAGGACUGGCGUGCUCGAGUGCGGCAGAGGGGGGUGGUAUCACGUGUAGCAGUGAAAUGCGUAGAGAUGUGGAGGAACACCGAUGGCGAAGGCAGCCCCCUGGGCCGACACUGACGCCUCGAUGCACGAAAGCGUGGGGAGCAAACAGG